AAGUGGAGCCGUCUUUUCUGCACAGAGUGUGCACUAUCAUCGUAACAGCAGAGACGGAGAGCAAGAUAAUGCCUGACCUCCUCGGAAUGCACCUGAGUAGGACUCAGCCUCAUUUUGCCUAGCCCCUGCUCAAGAUAGAGUCACUCUGGUUGGAAGGCCUUUGGCAAUAGGAUUGGCAACUCAGAGAAAGCUGGUCCCUGGCAUGGGCAUCUCUCCCAAGGCAUUCUUCCAAAGCUGAUGGCACUAAGGCUGAACCCAGAAGCUGCAGCAGUGGACGGAUGAUGAUCUGAAGAAAUGAGAUCCCUGAUGGGCUUGGAAGUCAUGGUUCCUGUAACCAUGAUGUCACACCCUCGUCCUGACACCGAGAUGGGCUGGACACAUCUGUCACCCAGGGCAAACAAAAUGCUUGGUCUGCAUCUUUCAGAAGAAAACUAAAAAUCAAGUAAUUUCUUAGAAGUUUGCUUGCGUGUGGCUUAAGUCUUCUUCUCCUGUUGAGGAAGGUGUUGAGUUUGACCAUGACAGCCCCACCCAGUCCUUGGCUCAUCUCACCCAUCAAAGAGGAUCUGGAGAUUCAGAGCUAUGCCGUGGAAGACCUUGUCAGAGCACCAGGCCAUACUGUGCUGCAGGUGGGGUUCAGGUGCCCAGUGACAACCACCGGGGCCGCUCAUCCCUAAACGUCUGUUGAACUUAAAGUUCUACUCAAGACUUUCUACAUUAAAUACCCUUUCAUACAGCAAAAUCAGCCAUGUUCUGAGAUGUGAAACUGCAGCACAAAGUUACUGUGGUCUCCACCUAUAGAAAUGGAAUGUUACUUCAUAAAGCCCCAGGCCAAAAAAGAAACCCCAAAACUCUGAAACGACACCCUUAAAUUUAACCUGAACAUCUGGCCAGCCUCCUCCAUCAUUGAAACUUCUCCUGAGUGUUGGCAUGGAUCCUAUGUUUCUCCAGCCAGGGAGCUUUGCUCCCCAUUCUUGAUGGACCCACUGAGUCCCAAUUUUCUACAUUUUACUUGGGUCAUUCCACCACUUUGGGAUGCUUUUCCUACUCUGUUGUACUUUAAAAAUGUUUCUUCUUUCCUAUUCUCAGCUUCACGCAUUUGUCUUCUUUCUCAAUUCAACUUGCUUAGUUCUCGCUACAUCAAUUCCUAGAGCCAUCCAUCUGCACUUCUGAAUCAUUUAAGUUUUGUUUGGCUACAAGUAAUGGAAACCCACUCUGAGUAACUCAAGCAAGAACUGGAAUUUAUUGGAAGGACAGUGGGAUAUAUCAUAAGAUCCAAAAAGAAUUGAACAAAUAAAAUUUCAGAGGGAAGAAAAAGGGCAGCUCCAGUGACUUCAGCAACAAGACAACAUAAGUCUUUCUAGAGCAUAGCUACUAAUAUUAUUCAGCUGCAAGAGCCCCUCCCCAUGAGAAACUUGAUUGAAAAUUCUGAUUUCCCACAGAGAAGAAUCUGAUCGACUCAGUUUAGCUUUGGUUGCCCAACUGCUCAAUCUUGCAUGAAUUAUUUCCAGCCAAGGGGACAAGGUGUAUUAUAGGGACACACCUGCUUUCUCCAAAGAAAAGAUCUGGGCAUUUCCUGAUCAUUUCCCUGAGAAGGAGGAAUCAUUGUGAGCCAAGAAGAUACCUCAAGUAUAAUGAGCUCAGUUACACUUUUUUGAUAUCUGAGUAUUUGGUAUGUAGUGUGCAUUUUAAAAAACAUGUCUCUCUCCAGGACAAUGUUAACCUCUUCCACGGUGGAGUGGGGCUAUGUGAUUUUGUGCUUAAUUUACCUAGCUGGUGGGCCUCCAGUAGAGGCUGUAGUCGAGCCAGCUGAUACCACAUCAGUUCUCCAAAGGAACAAAAGCUGCCCUUCCUUCCUUAUUGCAAAGUUUGACAAAAAGCAAAACGUGAAGAAUAAAAGCGACUUGCAUUGUCUAACAUCUACCGCAGUGUUUGAGCUGCAGCUGCUCCUCCUCCCCUGAUUGUUUUCAAAUAUUUCUUCAAAAAAGGCAUUAAAGAAAAACACAAGAUAUUGCACAGGGAACCAAAACAAAUCACAAUCUUCAAGGACAAAGCAUUGCAAAAUGGCUUACAUCCCCAAAUGGGAACAGAUAUGGUUGGAAAUUAAAACAAUCUUUUUUAUUUUAAGCGGAAAUGCUAGCAGAUGCCACAAGAAACAUAUGGAACUCGCCACAGACAAAUAGGGAAUGCUUUCUGCGUGUGGAAGUAGAGCAAAGGGAGUGACCACCUCUGACUGUCAGGGGGAACCAUCAGCUCGAACUGUUUGCUAUGGCAGGAGGGAGUUUGCAGAGUCCGGAGUCCUGCCCUCAUGAAAAAGCUUUAACGGUCUUGACUGAGUAAUUUAAGUCAUUCUUGUCAGGGAGUUUCAGAACACUAUGCACAAUUAUAUUUAUUUCACAAUGCAUUGAUUCCAGAUAUCUUUUUAAAUGUGCUUACCUCUGUGUGCGUUGUUACCUGUUCCCUCUUUGAAUCUCUGAAUGAAACAAAAUAAAUAGGAAAAAAUGGAGACAUAGAAGCAUUGUCCACAAGGCAUCUCCCACUCUAGAGGUCUCCCAGCCCCGUGCUAGCUUGUUAAUUUAUUAUCGCUUGUCUGUCAAACAAGGAAGAUAUAAUUUGCCACACAACAUGUUUUCCUAAAGCAAUGUUUUUGUACAAUUUCCUGAUUUCCAAAAAUAUGACCAAUGAUAUUCUGGUUG
rnacentral:lncRNA from 1 species